UGUUAGCAAAAAUUUUUUUUUACUCUCGAGUUAGCAUUUUCCCAUAUUGUCAUGGCUUUAGCUCAAUUUGAGUAAAAACUACUCACUUGCUACUAUUUUCAGUAUUUUCAUUAGCACCGACUCAAACCAUUUGUCUGCGCUCGAAACGUGUUCGUUCCCGAUGGUGCGGUUUGUUUUGAUAAGUUAUUGUUUUGAAUCGUGUUCCCGUAAAACUUUAAAAGUUGUGUUUCUGGUUAACGAAAUCAUCUUCCGGAGUGGCAACGAACAGCCGGUGGUUUUGGCCGAGCCCUAAGAUGACAAUUUUGUAUCGAGGCGGUCAAUUUGGAAGGUAGAGCCAAAGAUUGUUAUGUAAAAACAACAUUAUGUCGCCCCGGAUCUAUCUUUGGGUCAUCUUCAUUUUGUAUUCAGCUCGCUUCCGGCAACUGAUCAACGUACCGCCCGUGGAUUUUUCCGUAAUAUGUAAAGAUUGAACAAAAUAAUGGUCACAACUCGAAAUGAAACUUGAAACCUAUAUGAAGGCUUAUUUUGUUUCGCAUCACAGGCCCCACUUUGUUUCGGCAAAAAAGGAAGCUCCAGCAAUACACCUGAUGGAAACAGGCGUAAAUCGAUCCAUUCCAGAAUCCUCGAUCGGCAAUCAAAUAUUCUGGCAUUUUUUCCUUUCAUCGGCCUCUGCUUGCUAUUCUUUUUCUUCGAAUCUACCAGCUAAACGAAUUCACGACAAGGCAGCGAAUUUAUGCAUAUCCGUGAUAGGAACAUAGUCAAACGAGCGAUCUGACGAGAAGGAUGAUAACGAAAACAAUUUGCUCUAUUUAUGAUUGAAAUAGACAUAUACAAUAUCCUGAUUGAUCAAACCGUUACUCCUGGAGGCGUUUUUAAAAUUUUACCCAUAAAAACCUAGUCAACCUACCAGUGAAAAACUAAUGCAAACGGUCAGAAUGCUACCCGUGGAAAAAUGGGUGCCGCUGGAUAAUUGGAAUAACACUCGUUACACUGGAUUUAAUUCAAGAAUAUCACAAUAUAGAUUGGUCAAUUCUUUUCUAUCCUACCACGUACAGCUAUCUCAACCAUGGAGACUGUUUCCAUAAGUCAGUGUAAUGCAAAAAAUUAAAAUUUUGAUUGAUAUUCCAUUGUCAUGAAAUUCGAUUAGGCAAUCCAUUUGUGCAAACGGUGGCGUACGUGGUCAUUGGAUAGGUCUAAGGAAUCUGCAACAUGGGGCCGAUGGAAGCGAUAUGGUCAAUACGCUGGUGGUCGAUUUUGGAGACGUAAAGAAUAUCGACAAAGUGAAUAAGAAUAAAUUUGAAGUAUUGAUCGUAAAUUGUGAUAAAAAUGAAUGUGAUUAUAAUCUGUAAG